AUGGAAGCAGAACUCACAGCAUUAGACACUGCCACUGUUGAAGCAGAGUGGCUUCGUGAACUCUUGAUGGACUUACCUAUGGUUGAAAAACCAAUACCCCCUAUCCUGAUGAACUGUGAUAAUCAAACUGUGAUCGUCAAGAUAAACAGUUCUAAGGACAAUAUGAAGUCCUCAAGGCAUGUGAAGAGGAGACUAAAAUCUGUUAGAAAAUUGAGGAACUCCGGAGUUAUUACGUUGGAUUAUAUCCAAACGUCGAAAAACUUGGCAGAUCCCUUCACAAAGGGUCUAUCACGUAAUGUAAUAGAUAAUGCAUCGAUGGAGAUGGGUUUGAGACCCACC
rnacentral:rRNA from 1 species